UACGGAGGGGGCUAGCGUUGUUCGGAAUUACUGGGCGUAAAGCGCACGUAGGCGGCUGUUCAAGUCAGAGGUGAAAGCCUGGAGCUCAACUCCAGAACUGCCUUUGAAACUAGACAGCUAGAAUCAUGGAGAGGUGAGUGGAAUUCCGAGUGUAGAGGUGAAAUUCGUAGAUAUUCGGAAGAACACCAGUGGCGAAGGCGGCUCACUGGACAUGUAUUGACGCUGAGGUGCGAAAGCGUGGGGAGCAAACAGGGAUU
rnacentral:rRNA from 1 species